GACGAACGCUGGCGGCGUGCCUAAUACAUGCAAGUCGAACGAAACUUUCUUACACCGAAUGCUUGCAUUCACCGUAAGAAGUUGAGUGGCGGACGGGUGAGUAACACGUGGGUAACCUGCCUAAAAGAAGGGGAUAACACUUGGAAACAGGUGCUAAUACCGUAUAUCUCUAAGGAUCGCAUGAUCCUUAGAUGAAAGAUGGUUCUGCUAUCGCUUUUAGAUGGACCCGCGGCGUAUUAACUAGUUGGUGGGGUAACGGCCUACCAAGGUGAUGAUACGUAGCCGAACUGAGAGGUUGAUCGGCCACAUUGGGACUGAGACACGGCCCAAACUCCUACGGGAGGCAGCAGUAGGGAAUCUUCCACAAUGGACGCAAGUCUGAUGGAGCAACGCCGCGUGAGCGAAGAAGGUCUUCGGAUCGUAAAACUCUGUUGUUAGAGAAGAACACGAGUGAGAGUAACUGUUCAUUCGAUGACGGUAUCUAACCAGCAAGUCACGGCUAACUACGUGCCAGCAGCCGCGGUAAUACGUAGGUGGCAAGCGUUGUCCGGAUUUAUUGGGCGUAAAGGGAACGCAGGCGGUCUUUUAAGUCUGAUGUGAAAGCCUUCGGCUUAACCGGAGUAGUGCAUUGGAAACUGGAAGACUUGAGUGCAGAAGAGGAGAGUGGAACUCCAUGUGUAGCGGUGAAAUGCGUAGAUAUAUGGAAGAACACCAGUGGCGAAAGCGGCUCUCCGGUCUGCAACUGACGCUGAGGUUCGAAAGCGUGGGUAGCAAACAGGAUUAGAUACCCUGGUAGUCCACGCCGUAAACGAUGAAUGCUAGGUGUUGGAGGGUUUCCGCCCUUCAGUGCCGCAGCUAACGCAAUAAGCAUUCCGCCUGGGGAGUACGACCGCAAGGUUGAAACUCAAAGGAAUUGACGGGGGCCCGCACAAGCGGUGGAGCAUGUGGUUUAAUUCGAAGCAACGCGAAGAACCUUACCAGGUCUUGACAUCUAGUGCCAUUUGUAGAGAUACAAAGUUCCCUUCGGGGACGCUAAGACAGGUGGUGCAUGGCUGUCGUCAGCUCGUGUCGUGAGAUGUUGGGUUAAGUCCCGCAACGAGCGCAACCCUUGUUAUUAGUUGCCAGCAUUAAGUUGGGCACUCUAAUGAGACUGCCGGUGACAAACCGGAGGAAGGUGGGGAUGACGUCAAGUCAUCAUGCCCCUUAUGACCUGGGCUACACACGUGCUACAAUGGGCAGUACAACGAGAAGCGAGCCUGCGAAGGCAAGCGAAUCUCUGAAAGCUGUUCUCAGUUCGGACUGCAGUCUGCAACUCGACUGCACGAAGCUGGAAUCGCUAGUAAUCGCGGAUCAGCACGCCGCGGUGAAUACGUUCCCGGGCCUUGUACACACCGCCCGUCACACCAUGGGAGUCUGCAAUGCCCAAAGCCGGUGGCCUAACCUUCGGGAAGGAGCCGUCUAAGGCAGGGCAGA
rnacentral:rRNA from 1 species